rnacentral:tRNA from 1 species
AAGACGCUAGUAAUAAGAAUUACACCGCCUUGUCAAGGCGGAAUUGUGGGUUAAAACCCCGCGCAUCUUA